rnacentral:rRNA from 1 species
GUAUGGACGGGAUAAGUGCUGAAAGCAUCUAAGCAUGAAGCCCCCCUCAAGAUGAGAUUUCCCAACUUCGGUUAUAAGAUCCCUCAAAGAUGAUGAGGUUAAUAGGUUCGAGGUGGAAGCGUAGCGAUACGUGGAGCUGACGAAUACUAAUCGAUCGAAGACUUAAUCAAUUU